AUGGCUCAGCCGUGCUCCCGGUUUCAGCACUGCCUCACCUCGAGCUGCUCUCACCAUGCUCCUCCAGGGGCCCGGCCAUGGCUCCUCCCGCCGCACUCCACCAGGGUCCCACACCUGCUUGUCUCGCCACACUCAUUAGGCCUGGCAUUGGCUCCUCUCACCACGAUCACUAGAGCUGGCGCUGGCUCCUCUCGCCACGCUCACUUGUGCUGGCUCCUCCUGCCACGCUCCUCCAGGGCCCGGCGCUGGUUCCUCCUGCCACGCUCCUCCAGGGCCCAGCGCUGGCUCAUCUUGCCACGCUCCUCCAGGGUCCGACGCUGGCUCCUCCUGCCACGCUCCUUCAGGGCCCGGCGCUGGCUCCUCCUGCCACACUCCUCCAGGGCCCCGCGCUGGCUCCUCUCGCCACGCUCCUCCAGGGCCCGGCGCUGGCUCCUCUCACCACGCUCCUCCAGGGCCCCGCGCUGGCUCCUCUCGCCACGCUCCUCCAGGGCCCCGUGCUGGCUCCUCUCACCACGCUCCACCAGGGUCCCGCAUUGGCUCCUCUCGCCACACUCUUCCAGGGGCCCGGCACUGGCUCCUCUCACCACGCUCCUCCAGGGCCCGGCGCUGGCUCCUCUCACCACGCUCCUCCAGGGCCCCGCGCUGGCUCCUCUCACCACACUCCUCCAGGGCCCCGCGCUGGCUCCUCUCGCCACGCUCCUCCAGGGCCCGGCGCUAGUUCCUCCUGCCACGCCCCUCCAGGGCCCCGCGCUGGUUCCUCCUGCCACGCUCCUCCAGGGCCCCGCGCUGGCUCCUCUCCCCACGCUCCUCCAGGGCCCGGCGCUGGCUCCUCCUGCCACGCUCCUCCAGGGUCCGGCGCUGGCUCCUCCUGCCACGCUCCUCCAGGGCCCCGCGCUGGCUCCUCUCGCCACGCUCCUCCAGGGCCCGGCGCUGGCUCCUCUCACCACGCUCAUUAGGGCCCAGUGGGGGCUCCUCUCGCCACGCUCCACCAGGGUCCCGCAUUGGCUCCUCUCGCCACGCUCUUCCAGGGGCCCGGCACUGGCUCCUCCUGCCACGCUCCUCCAGGGCCCCGCGCUGGCUCCUCUCCCCACGCUCCUCCAGGGCCCGGCGCUGGCUCCUCUCCCCACGCUCCUCCAGGGCCCCGCGCUGGCUCCUCUCGCCACGCUCACUAGGGCCGGCUGUUUCACUCUCCUCUCCUCAGACUCCUGUUUGUGUAUUCCAAUCUGCAUUAUAAAGUCUCCCCAUUGGACACGCCUCCUUUGCACAUCUGUGCUUAAUCAGGCAGCAAUGAGGUGGCGUUCAGGGGUCCCCCAGAAUAUCAAACUCUGA
rnacentral:lncRNA from 1 species